GAAGAUAAUGACGGUAACCGGAGAAGAAGCCCCGGCUAACUUCGUGCCAGCGGCCGCGGUAAUACGAAGGGGGCUAGCGUUGUUCGGAAUUACUGGGCGUAAAGCGCACGUAGGCGGAUAUUUAAGUCAGGGGUGAAAUCCCAGAGCUCAACUCUGGAACUGCCUUUGAUACUGGGUAUCUUGAGUAUGGAAGAGGUGAGUGGAAUUCCGAGUGUAGAGGUGAAAUUCGUAGAUAUUCGGAGGAACACCAGUGGCGAAGGCGGCUCACUGGUCCAUUACUGACGCUGGGGUGCGAAAGCGUGGGGAGCAAACAGGAUUAGAUAACCCUGGUAGUCCACGCCGUAAACGAUGAAUGUUAACCGUCGGGCAGUAUACUGUUCCGUGGCGCAGCUAACGCAUUAAACAUUCCGCCUGGGGAGUACGGUCGCAAGAUUAAAAAACUCAAAGGAAAUUGACGGA
rnacentral:rRNA from 1 species